GAUGAACGCUGGCGGCGUGCCUAAUACAUGCAAGUCGGGCGAACGGACGAGAAGCUUGCUUUUCUGAUGUUAGCGGCGGACGGGUGAGUAACACGUGGAUAACCUACCUAUAAGACUGGGAUAACUUCGGGAAACCGGAGCUAAUACCGGAUAAUAUUUUGAACCGCAUGGUUCAAAAGUGAAAGACGGUCUUGCUGUCACUUAUAGAUGGAUCCGCGCUGCAUUAGCUAGUUGGUAAGGUAACGGCUUACCAAGGCAACGAUGCAUAGCCGACCUGAGAGGGUGAUCGACCACACUGGAACUGAGACACGGUCCAGACUCCUACGGGAGGCAGCAGUAGGGAAUCUUCCGCAAUGGUCGAAAGCCUGACGGAGCAACGCCGCGUGAGUGAUGAAGGUCUUCGGAUCGUAAAACUCUGUUAUUAGGGAAGAACAUAUGUGUAAGUAACUGUGCACAUCUUGACGGUACCUAAUCAGAAAGCCACGGCUAACUACGUG
rnacentral:rRNA from 1 species